rnacentral:rRNA from 1 species
UGGCUCAGGACGAACGCUGGCGGCGUGCCUAACACAUGCAAGUCGAGCGAGAAGUCAAUAACAGAUUUCUUCGGAAUGAAGUAAUUGAUGGAAAGCGGCGGACGGGUGAGUAACGCGUGAGUAACCUGCCUUCAAGAGGGGGACAACAGUUGGAAACGACUGCUAAUACCGCAUAACAUUGCGAAAUCGCAUGAUAACGCAAUCAAAGAUUUAUCGCUUGAAGAUGGACUCGCGUCCGAUUAGAUAGUUGGUGAGGUAACGGCUCACCAAGUCGACGAUCGGUAGCCGAACUGAGAGGUUGAUCGGCCACAUUGGGACUGAGACACGGCCCAGACUCCUACGGGAGGCAGCAGUGGGGGAUAUUGCGCAAUGGGGGCAACCCUGACGCAGCAACGCCGCGUGAAGGAAGACGGUUUUCGGAUUGUAAACUUCUUUAAGUGUGGAAGAAGAUGACGGUACACACAGAAUAAGCCACGGCUAACUACGUGCCAGCAGCCGCGGUAAUACGUAGGUGGCGAGCGUUGUCCGGAUUUAUUGGGUUUAAAGGGUGCGUAGGCGGAAUAUUAAGCCUGAGGUAAAAAUUCGGGGCCCAACCCCGUCCCGCCUUGGGAACUGGUAUUCUAGAGUGGUUGAGAAGUAUGCGGAAUGCGCGGUGUAGCGGUGAAAUGCAUAGAUAUCACGCAGAACGCCGAUUGCGAAGGCAGCAUACCGGCAGCCCACUGACGCUGAGGCACGAAAGCGUGGGGAUCAAACAGGAUUAGAUACCCUGGUAGUCCACGCAGUAAACGAUGGAUGUUAGCUGUUCGGAGCGAAUGAGUUCUGAGUGGCACAGCGAAAGCGUUAAACAUCCCACCUGGGGAGUACGCCGGCAACGGUGAAACUCAAAGGAAUUGACGGGGGCCCGCACAAGCGGAGGAACAUGUGGUUUAAUUCGAUGAUACGCGAGGAACCUUACCCGGGCUCAAACGGCACAGUGAUACUUUUGAAAGGAGGUAGCUCUACGGAGACUGUGCCGAGGUGCUGCAUGGUUGUCGUCAGCUCGUGCCGUGAGGUGUCGGCUUAAGUGCCAUAACGAGCGCAACCCCUAUUGUCAGUUGCCAGCAGGUAAAGCUGGGGACUCUGACGAGACUGCCGGCGCAAGCUGAGAGGAAGGCGGGGAUGACGUCAAAUCAGCACGGCCCUUACGUCCGGGGCGACACACGUGUUACAAUGGCAGGCACAGCGGGAAGCCACCCGGCGACGGGGAGCGGAACCCGAAAGCCUGUCUCAGUUCGGAUCGGAGUCUGCAACUCGACUCCGUGAAGCUGGAUUCGCUAGUAAUCGCGCAUCAGCCAUGGCGCGGUGAAUACGUUCCCGGGCCUUGCACUCACCGCCCGUA